rnacentral:rRNA from 1 species
UAUGCAAGCCAGAUUCAAAUCCCCGGGCUCGACCUGGGAACAGCAUUUGUGACUGCCUGGCUUGGGUACGUUAGAUGGGGAUGGAGUUCCGCGUGUACCAGUGAAUGCGUAGAUAUGCGGAGGAACACCGAUAGCGAAGCAUCCCCUGUACCUGUACGGCGCUCAUGCACGAAAGCGUGGGGAGCAAACAGGAUUAGAUAUCCUGGUAGUGCACGCUCUAAACGAUGUCAAACUGGUAGUUGGGAGGGUUUCUUCUCAGUAACGAAGAUAACGCGUGAAGUUGACCGCCUGGGGAGUACGGCCCGCAAGGUUGGAACUCAAAGGAAUUGACGGGGACCCGCACAAGCGGUGGAUGAUGUGGUUUAAUUCGAUGCAACGCGAAAAACCUUACCUACCCUUGACAUGUCAGAGACCCGCGAGAGAUUGCGGGGUGCUUGAAAGAGAAUCUGAACACAGGUGCUGCAUGGCCGUCGUCAGCUCGUGUCGUGAGAUGUUGGGUUAGGUCCCGCAACGAGCGCAACCCUUGUCAUUAGUUGCUACGAAAGGGCACUCUAAUGAGACUGCCGGUGACAAACCGGAGGAAGGUGGGGAUGACGUCAGGUCAUCAUGGCCCUUAUGGGUAGGGUUACACACGUCAUACAAUGGCCGGUACAGAGGGCUGCCAACCCGCGAGGGGGAGCUAAUCCCAGAAAACCGGUCGUAGUCCGGAUCGUAGUCUGCAACUCGACUGCGUGAAGUCGGAAUCGCUAGUAAUCGCGGAUCAGCUUGCCGCGGUGAAUACGUUCCCGGGUCUUGUACACACCGCCCGUCACACCAUGGGAGCGGGUUCUGCCAGAAGUAGUUAGCCUAACCGCAAGGAGGGCGAUUACCACGGCAGGGUUCGUGACUGGGGUGAAGUCGUAACAAGGUA